AUGAAGUUCUGCAAUGAAAGCGCCUUGAUUUUAACUAGAAUCUCUAAUAUUGUUUAAGAGGCAUGUUUACGUCUGCGUACGUUUCUUUUAUUGUGUGCGUAUUCAGGUUUGCCAAAGCUGUCUAAAAUUACCUCUGUGACGUUUCGUUGACUGGUGAUCGUUAGGAUGACGAUGACAUUCCCGUUUUGCGUGGAAUGAUGAGACGUGCUACAAUCUUCGCGUAGCCUCGGUAUUCUUCCGUCGACGCUCUUGUGCAAGAUCACUCGUGUGUUUUUCCGAGCGUGAAAGAUGCCCGCGAAUACAUCCAAAAUGCCGAAUGACUGGCCGCUCGAGGCAGUUUGCGUGUAUUGGCGGGCAUCUGUCACAGUUGAAAAAACACUUUAUGUAGCACGUAUUGAGCAACAGAAAGCGGUAUCGGGGGUUUCUCAUUUUGCUUUACAAUCUUCUCAUUGACACUUUUCAUGUAACUAUAAUAAUUGAGAAGUUAAUUAAUUAGAACAAAUUAUCUAACUAGGCUCAAUGAAAAAAAAUAAUCUGAGUGUCGCCAACAUUACCUUGGUUCUGUCCAGGUACGUGGCACUUGCAUAUUUUUAAAGUUUGGGCAAAGUUAUAUGAAACACCUUGUAUGUAGUGCACUGUUGCUUUGUUUUUUGUAACAUAAUCAGACAGUGCAGCUAUUUACAGCAUCUUCUUUUUACAAUACUUAACAUUUUUUGGCUUCAGUCACGCUGUAAAUAAAUUUUGAGGUCGCUUUGGCGGUUUUUUUUUUGUUUAUUUGUGUGUGUGCAAGUCUGUGCAGUAACAAAAUUCUGUUAAAAAAGGAAAAUUCCGAUAUACAGUUGUAAUAGGCACUAGAGUUUUUUUGUAAUUUACUAUGCAGGCGCAUAUCUACGUGCAAGAGAGAAGGCGCGUGAGGGUAAAGACACCAAUCAUGUACCCCUACAGGUGCCGAAAGGGGCAGAGGAAAACGCAGCCGCCCAAAGGGCCACCACGAAACUCCUGAACUCCAAGAACCCAGUCAGAAGACCUACUGAAUUAAGGAGCUACAGCCCAGCAGCCCGUUCGUAACGAGGUUUAUCAAGGUCGAUACCUGUAAUGGACGUUACUCGGAGGCACUCACAUGUUGAUGCCUAGCUUGUCUAGUCGUCGUGUUUACUUUUUGCAAUAAAAAAUGUUAUUGCUG